rnacentral:rRNA from 1 species
CGAGCGUUGUCCGGAWUUAUUGGGCGUAAAGAGCUUGUAGGCGGUUUGUCGCGUCUGCUGUGAAAGGCCGGGGCUUAACCCCGUGUAUUGCAGUGGGUACGGGCAGACUAGAGUGCAGUAGGGGAGACUGGAACUCCUGGUGUAGCGGUGGAAUGCGCAGAUAUCAGGAAGAACACCGAUGGCGAAGGCAGGUCUCUGGGCUGUAACUGACGCUGAGAAGCGAAAGCAUGGGGAGCGAACAGGAUUAGAUACCCUGGUAGUCCAUGCCGUAAACGUUGGGCACUAGGUGUGGGGGACAUUCCACGUUUUCCGCGCCGUAGCUAACGCAUUAAGUGCCCCGCCUGGGGAGUACGGCCGCAAGGCUAAAACUCAAAGAAAUUGACGGGGGCCCGCACAAGCGGCGGAGCAUGCGGAUUAAUUCGAUGCAACGCGAAGAACCUUACCAAGGCU